rnacentral:tRNA from 1 species
GCGGGUGUAGUAUAGCGGCUAUUAUGUGACCUUCCCAAGGUUGAGAUGGGAGUUCGACUCUCCCCAUCCGCACCA